AAUCAACGCUGGCGGCGUGCCUCAGACAUGCAAGUCGAACGAGAAAGUUUCCUUCGGGGAAUGAGUAAAGUGGCGCACGGGUGAGUAACACGUAGGUAAUCUACCUUCGGGUGGGGAAUAACCCAGGGAAACUUGGGCUAACACCGCAUAAUGCAGCGGCACCACAUGGUGACAGUUGUUAAAGCGGGGGAUUUUAGGACCUCGCGCCUGAAGAGGAGCCUGCGGCGGAUUAGCUAGUUGGAAGGUAACGGCUUACCAAGGCGACGAUCCGUAACCGGCCUGAGAGGGCGGUCGGUCACACUGACACUGACAUACGGGUCAGACUCCUACGGGAGGCAGCA
rnacentral:rRNA from 1 species